rnacentral:rRNA from 1 species
GACGAACGCUGGCGGCGUGCUUAACACAUGCAAGUCGAACGGUGAAGCUCCAGCUUGCUGGAGUGGAUCAGUGGCGAACGGGUGAGUAACACGUGAGCAACCUGCCCCUGACUCUGGAAUAAGCGCUGGAAACGGCGUCUAAUACUGGAUACGAGAAGGGUCCGCAUGGGCACUUUCUGGAAAGUUUUUCGGUUAGGGAUGGGCUCGCGGCCUAUCAGCUUGUUGGUGAGGUAAUGGCUCACCAAGGCGACGACGGGUAGCCGGCCUGAGAGGGCGACCGGCCACACUGGGACUGAGACACGGCCCAGACUCCUACGGGAGGCAGCAGUGGGGAAUAUUGCACAAUGGGCGAAAGCCUGAUGCAGCGACGCCGCGUGAGGGAUGACGGCCUUCGGGUUGUAAACCUCUUUCAGCAGGGAAGAAGCGAAAGUGACGGUACCUGCAGAAGAAGCACCGGCUAACUACGUG